rnacentral:rRNA from 1 species
GACAGAGGGUGCAAACGUUGCUCGGAAUCACUGGGCGUAAAGGGCGCGUAGGCGGGUAGAUAAGUCGGGCGUGAAAUCCCUAGGCUCAACCUAGGAACUGCACUCGAAACUGUUUAUCUUGAGUGCCGGAGAGGAAAGCGGAAUUCCUGGUGUAGAGGUGAAAUUCGUAGAUAUCGGGAGGAACACCAGUGGCGAAGGCGGCGACCUGGGCCAAUAUUGACGCUGAGGUGCGAAAGCGUGGGGAGCAAACAGG